rnacentral:rRNA from 1 species
UUUUGACAGCAGGACGGUGGCCAUGGAAGUCGGAACCCGCUAAGGAGUGUGUAACAACUCACCUGCCGAAUGAACUAGCCCUGAAAAAUGGAUGGCGCUUAAGCGUAUAACUUAUACUUAACCCUUACUUGAAUUAUUAUAGCGAGUAAGGAGUAGGAGGGCGUAAAGUUUCUAUUAUAUUGGCUGUUAAGCAUCUAAGCGUAAGCUUAUGUGGAGCAAAACUUUAGUGUAGAUCUUGGUGGUAGUAGCAAAUAUUCAAAUGAGAACUUUGAAGACUGAAGUGGAGAAAGCUUCCAUAUGAACUGUGUUUGUUUAUGGGUUAGUCGAUCCUAAGAGAUAGGUUAAUUCUCAUAGAAUGUCUAUUGCUUUACUGCAAUCACCUAUCGAAAGGGAAACAGGUAAUAUUCCUGUACCAAAUCAAGGAUAAGUAAAAUAGGUAACAUAAAAGAACCUAGAAACGUCUAUGGAAAUCUGGGAAGAGUUCUCUUUUCUUUUAACUAAUACUGUGUAUAGUUUACUAUGCAUGUAAAAGACCUU